rnacentral:rRNA from 1 species
UACGUAGGGGGCAAGCGUUGUCCGGAUUUAUUGGGCGUAAAGAGCGUGUAGGCGGCCAGACAGGUCAGCUGUGAAAACUCGAGGCUCAACCUCGAGACGUCGGUUGAAACCGUCUGGCUAGAGUCCGGAAGAGGAGAGUGGAAUUCCCGGUGUAGCGGUGAAAUGCGCAGAUAUCGGGAAGAACACCCGUGGCGAAGGCGGCUCUCUGGGCCUUACCUGACACUGAGGAGCGAAAGCGUGGGGAGCGAACAGG